rnacentral:rRNA from 1 species
AGUGAACGCUGGCGGCAGGCCUAACACAUGCAAGUCGAACGGCAGCACGGCAGUAGCAAUACUGUGGGUGGCGAGUGGCGGACGGGUGAGGAAUACAUCGGGAUCUACCCUGUUGUGGGGGAUAACGUAGGGAAACUUACGCUAAUACCGCAUAAGAACUGAGGUUGAAAGCGGCGGACCGCAAGGCGUCGCGCGAUUGGAUGAACCGAUGUCCGAUUAGCUAGUUGGCGGGGUAAAGGCCCACCAAGGCGACGAUCGGUAGCUGGUCUGAGAGGACGACCAGCCACACUGGAACUGAGACACGGUCCAGACUCCUACGGGAGGCAGCAGUGGGGAAUAUUGGACAAUGGGCGCAAGCCUGAUCCAGCCAUGCCGCGUGGGUGAAGAAGGCCUCGGUUGUAAGACUCUUCGUCCGGGACGAAAGUACGCACAGGUAAUACCCUAGUGUGGAUGACGGUACCGGAAUAAGAAGACACCGGCGUAACU